rnacentral:tRNA from 1 species
GGGGCUGGGGCUCAAUGGAUGAGCGCCUGCCUCCCAUGCAUGAGGCACUAGGUUCGAUCCUCAGCACCA